rnacentral:rRNA from 1 species
UACGUAGGGCGCAAGCGUUGUCCGGAAUUAUUGGGCGUAAAGAGCUCGUAGGCGGCUUGUCGCGUCGGUUGUGAAAGCCCGGGGCUUAACCCCGGGUCUGCAGUCGAUACGGGCAGGCUAGAGUUCGGUAGGGGAGAUCGGAAUUCCUGGUGGAGCGGUGAAAUGCGCAGAUAUCAGGAGGAACACCCGUAGCGAAGGCGGCACUCUGGGCCGAUUCUGACACUGAGGAGCGAAAGCGUGGGGAGCGAACAGG